rnacentral:RNase_P_RNA from 1 species
AGAUGGCUGGAUGACUGCUGCGUAUCCUCGGAUGCGGAGAGGAAAGUCCGGGCUCCACGGAAAUACGGUGCCGGUUAAUGGCCGGCGGGGGCGACCCUAGGGAAAGUGCCACAGAAAGCAAACCGCCUGAUUUAUCGGGUAAGGGUGAAAGGGUGUGGUAAGAGCGCACCGCGCGCCUGGCAACAGGGGCGGCACGGUAAACCCCACCGGGAGCAAAACCAAAUAGGAACGGUCGGCGCAGGGCUUUGCUGCUGCGCAAGUAGGUUUUCCGGACUACCGUUCGGGUUGGUUGCAUGAGGUGCUUGGCAACAGGUACCCUAGAUGAAUGGUCAUCCAUCGAGAAAUCGAGGACAAAACCCGGCUUACAGGCCAUCUGGU